rnacentral:rRNA from 1 species
GACGAACGCUGGCGGCGUGCUUAACACAUGCAAGUCGAACGGAAAGGCCCUGCUUUUGUGGGGUGCUCGAGUGGCGAACGGGUGAGUAACACGUGAGUAACCUGCCCUUGACUUUGGGAUAACUUCAGGAAACUGGGGCUAAUACCGGAUAGGAGCUCCUGCUGCAUGGUGGGGGUUGGAAAGUUUCGGCGGUUGGGGAUGGACUCGCGGCUUAUCAGCUUGUUGGUGGGGUAGUGGCUUACCAAGGCUUUGACGGGUAGCCGGCCUGAGAGGGUGAACGGCCACAUUGGGACUGAGAUACGGACCAGACUCCUACGGGAGGCAGCAGUGGGGAAUAUUGCACAAUGGGCGGAAGCCUGAUGCAGCAACGCCGCGUGCAGGAUGCCGGCCUUCGGGUUGUAAACCGCUUUCGCCUGUGACGAAGCGUGAGUGACGGUAAUGGGUAAAGAAGCACCGGCUAACUACGUG